GCGAGUGAGAGCCGAGAGGAGCCGGGGACCGACACCGAGAGACCCCCAGACCUUCCCCGAGGACCCCACAGCCCGGACAUGUUCAGCAGGAGCUCCUGGAGGAGACAUUCCGGCAGAUCAACUACAACCUUUGCUGAGCCGGAGCGAGGGCAACCAUGCAAUGCCUGUGGUGACCGCUGUCCUGGACUGGCCUUACAUCAGUGGAGGAAGAUCUGCUUGCAUUGUAAGUGCUCACGGGAGGAGCACAGCGCCACCGCGAUGCCUUUGGAGAUGGAGAAGACCAUGAACAAGUUGAUGUUUGACUUUCAGAGGAACUCGACGUCUGACGAUGACUCGGGCUGCGCUCUGGAGGAAUACGCCUGGAUCCCUCCCGGACUGAAACCAGAACAGGUUCACCAGUAUUACAGCUGCUUACCCGAAGAUAAAGUCCCCUAUGUAAACAGCCCCGGUGAGAAGUCGAGGAUCAAACAGCUUCUACACCAGCUGCCUCCACAUGACAAUGAAGUUCGCUACUGCAAUUCUCUGGAUGAGGAAGAGAAGAGGGAGCUCAAGCUGUUCAGCAACCAAAGAAAACGGGAGAAUUUGGGAAGAGGGAAUGUCAGGCCUUUUCCCGUCACCAUGACAGGAGCCAUCUGUGAACAGUGUGGAGGACAGAUUAAUGGAGGGGACAUAGCCGUCUUUGCCUCUAGAGCCGGGCACGGCAUUUGUUGGCAUCCGCAGUGUUUCGUAUGCACGAUAUGCAAUGAACUGCUGGUCGACCUUAUAUACUUCUAUCAAGAUGGGAAGAUCUACUGCGGCAGACAUCAUGCUGAGUGCUUGAAACCCCGAUGUGCAGCUUGUGAUGAGAUUAUUUUUGCAGACGAAUGUACAGAAGCGGAGGGAAGACACUGGCAUAUGAAACACUUUUGCUGCUUUGAAUGUGAAACAGUGCUUGGUGGUCAGAGAUACAUCAUGAAAGAAGGACGUCCGUACUGCUGUAACUGCUUCGAGUCCUUAUAUGCCGAGUAUUGUGACACCUGUGCACAGCAUAUAGGUAUUGACCAGGGGCAAAUGACCUAUGAUGGCCAACAUUGGCAUGCAACAGAGAACUGUUUUUGUUGCGCCCACUGCAAAAAGUCACUUUUGGGACGUCCUUUUUUGCCAAAGCAAGGGCAGAUAUUCUGCUCAAGAGCAUGCAGUGUGGGUGAAGAUCCUAACGGCUCUGAUUCUUCAGAUUCUGCCUUCCAAAAUGCCAGAGCAAAGGAAUCAAGACGUAGCGCAAAGAUUGGCAAGAACAAAGCCAAGCUCGAAGACAGCAACAUGAAUCCAUUACACGCAGCUUCUAAUAGACUUUCCACCGACGUCGAUCCUCUCUCUUUGCAGAUGGAUUUGCUUAGUGUAUCAAGUCAAAACCCAAGUCUGAACCGGGACCAGCUAUGGAGAAGCAGAGAUGAACUUUACCACUAUAAUAACAAGAUGGAGAGAAGCCAAUCUCAAAGUCCUCUCCAACUCCUCAGUCAGUGUAACAUAAGGACUUCUUACAGUCCUGGACAGGGGGCAGGAGCUCAGCCAGACAUGUGGGCUAAGCAUUUUAAUAACCAAAAACGAAGCUUGUCAAUGAUGAGUCACAGCGAGAGCUUCUCUCAGGAAGGCAAAGAGUACUACCAAGGUAGACUAAGACAGCAGGAGAGCUUUAGUGAUGCCAGUAGUCACAGUUUUAAUGAGGCAAGGUCAAGUCUGAGAGUUCCAGAUGGCAAAAACAUGAAUUCACAGCAGUGUCGAACAAGACAUCCAAUCAAUGCACUUAAAUUCACUGAAGGGUUAACCCCAACAGAACAAACCCCUAGAGGUUCGAUGGAGUCUCUUGCUCUGUCCAAUGCAACAGCACAGCCCUCUAGUUUCUUUGAAGCUGAUAGUCAUCCAGCCGGGCUUGUGGCAGCAGCGUGUGGCAGCGGCAGAGCCUGGUCGGGAGAACUGGAUCGGGAUAUCCUAGGCGCAUCUAUGGAUGGGGGUCCUAAACGUCAGGAGCAUCUCUCUCGUUUUUCAAUGCCAGAUUUGAGCAAAGACUCUGGAAUGAACGUUUCAGAAAAACUGAGCAACAUGGGAACCCUUAACUCUUCUUCUCAGUUCCGAAGUGUAGAGUCUGUGCGGAGUCUUCUGUCUGCACAACAGUAUCAAGAUAUGGCUCACAACCUUGGUGAUCUUGCCAAACCUGGCAAAUACAGGGACUUGUUAUCUCAUGGAAGAAUGCACCAGUCAUUUCAGUUUGAUGAUGGUAUGAAUGACCUGACUGCCCAGGGUAAUGUGAAGAUGACACCUAUGAGUGAAAGGACAAGGAGGAGAACCCAAUCGCGAGAUAAUGAUCGACAUCAUCGGCAAAGAAGGUCAAGACGUUCCCGCUCUGACAACGCUCUCCACCUGGCCACAGAACAGUGUAGUAAGAUGAAAGACAAACCACUGCUGAGAGCCAGGGAGGACUAUGAAAGACUGAUGCAACAAAGAGGAGGACGCGAUCAGAUGGAUCAAGUUCUCCGAAGAGAAAUGUACAACCGGUAUCAAAGGACUGCUUCUGAUCUCGCUUUACAAAACCAUCUCUGUGAACGUUGGGGAGCACAAAUGAAUGAAUAUGAUUGGUGCUCCACGUGUUCAUCUUCUUCAGAAUCAGAUAACGAAGGAUAUUUCCUAGGAGAGCCAAUUCCACAGCCUACCCGCCUGAGAUAUGUGACCAGUGAAGACCUUAUCCAUCAGUAUGCCCAAUGCUCUGGUGGCAUACCCAAGUCUUCUACUUUGGGUGGACGAGGACAAUUGCAUAGCAGGAAAAGGAGGAAGAGCAAAAAUUGUAUUAUUUCCUAGUGUUGAACCAUAAAGCCACAGUUUUCCUAUGUAAAUUAGAUACCCUAGUGGGCCGGUCCACAAUUUGAACACUCUCUUGUUUUAUAGCAAAAGAAAAUGAAGUCCUUGUACAAUGCCUUCUUCCCCUCCCCUGGUCCUUGAGUAUAUGCGACCUGAGACUGAUUUACGAGAUAGGCUUGGUAAAUAGUUAUGAUUGUUGAUAUAGUGAAUUUUGGGUUUUAUUGCACAUUUCACUUUAUUUCCUCAAUAGUUCAGUCCGCCAAAAACAAAAAAAUACUGCCUUGCUUUUGUUCCACCUAGAGAAUAUAAUCUACUUUUGAAUGUAUGCCGUACCCAGAUGUACAGUAUGCUGCUUGACCCCUACCCUUGUACUACAAACGAUGUGUUUUUUUUGUUUUGUUUUUGGGCACUAGUAUUAUUUUCAAGUAUUUUAAGGAUCAGAUAAGGCUAACCUUUAAGUUAUUUAAGCACUCAUUGUAAAUGGUAUGUAAAUGAAAGUUCUGAAAAACUAUUUUUGUAUUUUGUAAUAUGAAAUGAGUCUAUAUGUUUUAGAACCAUGGAUAUAAUGGACCUGCAUGCCGAGCUCAUAAAAAAGAAAAAAAGAGUCUGGUUGGUUUAACUUUCCAAAGUGUGUAAUUUAUACUUUUGGGAUGCGUGGACGUAAUGUUCAGAUUUCAGCGGUCAAGCAAUAGUACAAAUGAAAGCCUUCUCCAUCCAGAACAAAAAAGUUGUGUUUGGCAGGUAUGAGUUUAGCACCUUACAGAAAUGAUUUAACUUUUUUCCUUUAAAAGAAAUAUAUAUUGUAUCUAUAGAUAUAAGCAUACAUUUAUGCAACAAGUUGACUUCAGGCAAAGUAAUGUAGUAGUUACGAAAUCAUUUACCAAAGUUUGAGAACAUUCUUAUUAUGAUGUGGGAAUCAAGUCCAAAAAGUUCAGUAUGGUAUACAGUAUUUCUGUAAAAUACUUACCACCAUUUUGACCCACAUUAAAUUCAGGGUUAGGCGAUGUUCAAAAAGUUGUAUUGAAAUCUAAAAAUGUAAGUUGUUUUUUUUUUUCAUUUUACCCACCAAAAACCAUUACUUUAUUUCACUAAAAUUCCAGCAUCUGAUUUCAGGACACAAAUCCUUAAGGAUUCCGGAAGUCAGGCACUUGACAAUCUAAUCUCUGGGCAAUACGCUUCUAGACUGACCAGAUAUCUUGAAGACAUACCAACACUCAACCAAGUGGCCUCUAUGGUCCAGCUUGGUUGUUUUGAAAAAUAAAAAUAGGAUGGAAAAUUACUGUGGGGAGUUCAAAAAGUUAUCCAGUACAUUUUAAUUCUACAACCUUACGGUUAUCAUUUCUUUAAAGAUUUUAAAGAUGACUAUUUCAUAUAUUGCUUUAUGUGCUUUACAUUUUAGGCGGAGUUAUCUUUAGUGCAGCAAAAAGUUUCCAUUCCCAAAAACAUUUACUCCUUCGCUUCAGUUGUAUAAACUGAAAUGUCAUGAUUGCUGCAGAAUCUCCCUGUUAUUACUCUUUCUACGUCUAAACAUCAUAUAUUGUACUAAGUUAGGGCACAGUUUCACCAGUUCCAGGAGUCAGGUAGACAAUGAGAGUAGAAAUUUGCUGCCAGUGCCUAACUUUUUGAAUUGUUUACUGAUGACGUCUGUGAAAGUGUGAAAGAUUUAUUUUAUUUAAUUUUUUUUGGCUUGGCUACAAAAAAUUUAGAAGUUGACUCUUAGCGUCUACACUGAAUUAGGGGAACUUUUUUGUAGCAGCAAGAACAUUGUUUAAUAUCCAUGCCAGACCACAUUUUUUUUUACAAUACUUGAUUGCACAAAGAUCCAGUUCCACAGGUGUCCACUUUUAUUCUUCUUUUUAGAAUUAGGUCAAGUUAACCCAUGGCCACCACACAAAUACGACCUACUGAACAUGCCAACAAUUCAUCCUACUAGAAAAGUUUUUGGAACCUUCUGAGUGUCUAUAUAAAGCCAUAGAGUUGUGUCCAGUCUGUGUACAUAUGUAAAGCCACAUUCAUGACUACUUUUGAGCUUCUGCAGCAACUGUGAACAUGACAUGAGUUGACCCCAUCAGUGGAAUAUCAAACCUUCAUGGUGGCCCUAGCCUACAAGAGUCAAGAAACAACUGCUGGCCAAGCUGACAUGCCCCGUACUUCAUAAACCCAUUCCUAAGGCUUGAAUUUCUCCCCAGCUCCAGCUACAUACGCUAGUCACUUCGAGGUGACUCGUUAACGUGAGUUAUACCUAUAAUUCCAGUGACCUUGCUGUAUCCAAAACCCGACCGAGGAGUCCAUGUGACAUGAUGUACAGUAGUUUUACGUUGUUGAAUUUCAAGUAGAUGUUAAAAACUUAAAUUGCAAAUGGUGCCGUUCUGUUUUAUCCGCCUCAGAUUGUGAAUUGUACUAUGCUCUGUGACUUGAGAUAUUUAACCUGCUUUCAUUUUUUACUGUAAGAGUGAAAGAAAAUGGAUCAUUGCUGCUUUUCUACACGGGGUCUUCUCCUGCCUCCUCACUCAGAGGACAGGGCCGAAAUACAGAACAAGUAUCAGAAGUAGUUUGUGCGUAAUUGUACUGGACACAUGCGUUUUGCUUUUUAUGCUUUGAACUGCAAAAAUCUUGUGCUAUUUGCAGGGUGUUCAACAUCAUUUGCUGUUCAGAUUUAAAUAUUAAAACAUAUUCAUUGUCCUUGAUAAA